CGCCAAUAUCAAAAAGCAAUAAUCAAUUACCCCAAGGUUUUUAAAGAUAUUGGUGGGCACCAAAACCCUAUUCGGGAUGAGUGAAUUGAGUAUUUGAGAAAGGGAAAGACACUGACAUCAGGUACUUGUAAAUAAUCAAUACAAACUUUAUUGAUUAACAAAGACUUAAUUAAUAAGUAAUCAUUCAACUUAAAGAAACAGUUUAAUAUUCAGCUUAAAGAAACAGCUCAAGUAUACAUCGUCAUAAGAGAAGCUUGCUGCACUCGACUGAGAGAACUUCUGGCAGUCUGGCUUGAAGGGGACCUUCUCUUACUAGGAAAUCAGCAGAACCAGUGAUACAUGUCCGUAUUACAGGUGGGUAGUACUCCAAACGAGUGCCAAGUUUUCUUGUCUUUUAUAAGUUCUUAAUAAUCAAUGGGGUGAAUAGUCUGUACUUUUGCAACAAAUCUUCUUAUCAGUGCAGCCCAGCAAACACCUUGCAAAAGCGUUGGAUGGGACCUGCAGAUGGCCAGGCUGUCCAGCUCCAACAAUAUCAUGCCAGGUCUGUACGGUUAUUAUCUCUGAUCUAAAAAGCUAGCUCUGUUCUCAUAACUAUCUUGUGAUGGCAUGCAUGAGUCAUUCUUGUGCUGUGUUUUGUGGUUAGUAACAUUUUCAGUACUGUGUACCGGCGCCAUCUUAACUAUCUAUAAUAGUUUAAUUUGCUCAAUAGUGAUCAAUCAAAGAUUCUUAAUUAAUAUGGAAUAUUAUUAUCAUAGCUCGGUAAUGUGUUAGGCCUUUGUGCUCAUUUAAGAGCAAUUCACCCGCCUUGUCUGUCAAGUGGUUUACAUGCACACUAGACUGUAGCUCUCUAUGGUGAAUCUACCUAAUGCUGCCUUGUAUCACUGUGAUAUCCCUCUCUGACUCCUCCCUCUCAUAUCACAGUUGUAUAGCUCCCAAUGUUUGGAGGUAUUUAACUGCCCAUGAAUCCCACAUCACAGGAUUCUCAAAUGUGGAUUAUAUAUCAUUUACAUUGUUUGCAAUUGACUCUAGCAUCUAGCACAUGGACAUCUAGACAUGUUGCUGCUCUAUGCGGGUGUAGUUCAUUCUCAAUAGAAAACUCCACACAGUUAUACCAAAGAGAUACUUUUACAAAGACAACAAUUUAUAUUUGGAAAGUCAUAUUAGACAAAGCCAACAGUAUCCAGCCUUAAUAUUUAUUAAUGUGUAAAAUAAAUGUUUCUGUUAUUCAAUACUCUUUUUUUUGUAACAAAUGACAUGCUAUAUCUCUCUUAACAAAAAUUACAACAAAAAAAUUACAAAUUACAAAAAGGUCCUCCCUUUACAGUGGUAUAUAAAUUGGCGCAUACAUAAGCAUGCUUUUCAGAAUGGAGUACUAAGAAAGAAAACAAAGGAUAAGAAAAAGAAAUAUAACAUCUAUUUUAGAGCACUGAAAAGAUUGGCUUGUUUCAGGGCUUCCAAAACAGGUCUCGCACACCAUCAACACAGCAUGUAUUAUCAAUCUCUGCACUUGUAAGUAAAACAAUUCUAAAUAAUUUUGAUAGUCCGUAUGCUGCAGUAGAGGUGGGAUUUAAGUGUUACAGGCACUCCACUGGUAAUCUGCCUUUGCUUCAGCUGAUGUUGGCAUUGAUCCAGUUAAUGUAGCUGGACACUUCGGUAUAGACGCCAGGCUUGUUAACCUCAGCACAGCCAGUUCCCCAGCUCACAAUACCGUACAACUCAACACGUCCUUCCAGCUCGCAAACAAGAGGACCACCAGAGUCUCCCUGUGGGAAGACAAAAUGAGAUUGUGGGUUCAAUAAGAGAAACAAAUAAUGCAAAAGAAGAAUUUAUAGAUAUAGCUUAAGUGUUUUAUCGUUUCUUUUAUGGCACAUUACCUACGUUCUCAAAAGCUGUACGUAGAGUAAAUUAUUGUCCUUGUUAGUUUAUUUUGACAACAAUUUGUGACAAAAGUGUGUUCAAUUAAUCUGAACUCAAUAUUACAGGGUUUUUGCAGACACAGCAGAAGUCUUUAACCUCCUUAUUUGCAUUGUCCUAAAAUGUGAUUUGAUCUUUACCUACGUCCCAAUGAUAGAUAAAAAGGAUCAGAAUAAACAAACACAAAAACAUAGUGUGGCGAAAAGUAACCUCGCCACUGGCUUUUGGAGGAGCCUAUUUGCCAGCCUCCUGCCCUGUGACUAUGGCCCCUGUAAUAAACUGUGGUUAAAGACACUGUUUGUACCUUUUGGACUUGUAUGGUUCGGUAUACGGAAUUUACCAAACGGAUCAGGAGUCUGGGUUUGAAUGCCGAAUAAACCACUGAAUGACUGGACCACCCGUACGAGAAGUGUGCCACCUAUAAACAUUAUUCACUCAGUAACACUUCAAAC
rnacentral:lncRNA from 1 species